ensembl:lncRNA
AGAACUCCCAGUACAGUAUUGAAAACUGUAGUAAGAGGGGACAUCCUGCCUUGUUCCUGAUGCCAGUAAGAAAGUGAUGAGUUUUUCAUUCCUAAGUAUCAUCUUCACUGUAGGGAGUCCAGAUUGGAACCUUCUGAGGAAACUCUGGCCAGAUCUAAAAUAAGUUGUGUGAUCACAAGGAGAGAGAUGCAAAACUUCAUGAACAGAGUGACAGAUACAGAGACAGACAAGGAGGAAGUGAGAUGUGGAGACAGUUCAAGAUUAUACGUAAUGGAAGCAGAAUAGUUUGGGGAAAGAUCUGGAGUUGAGAGCCUGAGUGUCUGGCUUAAACCCUUGCUCUGUAACCUGGGACAAAUACUUAUCCAAAAGAUGAAGGUAACCACACUGAUGAGGAAAAAGAAUAAAGUUUCUGAAGUGCUUAAACACACUCAGGAUUGCCUAAGUUUUAU